AUUGAACGCUGGCGGCAGGCCUAACACAUGCAAGUCGAGCGGAGCGGCGGACGGGUGAGUAAUGCCUAGGAAUCUGCCUGGUAGUGUGGGCUAACAUCCGGAAACGGGCCCUAAUCACGCAUCCUGUCAGUUUAUCCUCGGUCGGAUUAGCUAGUUGGUGGGGUAAAGGCUUACCAAAGCGCCGGUCCGUACCUGGUCUGAGAGGAUGAUCAGUCACACUGGAACUGAGACACGGUCCAGACUCCUACGGGAGCCAGCAUUGGGGAAUGUUGCACAAGGGGCGAAAGCCUGAUCCAGCCAUGCCGCGUGUGUGAAGAAGGUCUUCGGAUUGUAAAGCACUUUAAGUUGGGAGGCGUUACCAACAGAAUAAGCACCGGCUAACUUCGUGCCAGCAGCCGCGGUAAUAC
rnacentral:rRNA from 1 species